rnacentral:rRNA from 1 species
GAUGAACGCUGGCGGCGUGCCUAAUACAUGCAAGUCGAGCGAACAGACGAGGAGCUUGCUCCUCUGACGUUAGCGGCGGACGGGUGAGUAACACGUGGAUAACCUACCUAUAAGACUGGGAUAACUUCGGGAAACCGGAGCUAAUACCGGAUAAUAUAUUGAACCGCAUGGUUCAAUAGUGAAAGACGGUUUUGCUGUCACUUAUAGAUGGAUCCGCGCCGCAUUAGCUAGUUGGUAAGGUAACGGCUUACCAAGGCAACGAUGCGUAGCCGACCUGAGAGGGUGAUCGGCCACACUGGAGCUGAGACACGGUCCAGACUCCUACGUGAGGCAGCAGUAGCGAAUCUUCCGCAAUGGGCGAAAGCCUGACGGAGCAACGCCGCGUGAGUGAUGAAGGUCUUCGGAUCGUAAACUCUGUUAUUAGUGAAGAACAAAUGUGUAAGUAACUAUGCACGUCUUGACGGUACCUAAUCAGAAAGCCACGGCUAACUACGUG